GAAAUGCGAUAAGUAAUGUGAAUUGCAGAAUUCAGUGAAUCAUCGACUCUUUGAACGCACAGUGCGCCCGCCAGUAUUCUGGCGGGCAUGCCUGUUCGAGCGUCAUUACAACCCUCAGGCCCCCGGGCCUGGCGUUGGGGAUCGGCGGAAGCCCCCUGCGGGCACAACGCCGUCCCCCAAAUACAGUGGCGGUCCCGCCGCAGCUUCCAUUGCGUAGUAGCUAACACCUCGCAACUGGAGAGCGGCGCGGCCACGCCGUAAAACACCCAACUUCUGAAUGUUGACCUCGAAUCAGGUAGGAAUACCCGCUGAACUUAAGC
rnacentral:misc_RNA from 1 species